rnacentral:rRNA from 1 species
GAGUUUGAUCAUGGCUCAGAUUGAACGCUGGCGGCAGGCCUAACACAUGCAAGUCGAACGGUAACAGGAAACAGCUUGCUGUUUCGCUGACGAGUGGCGGACGGGUGAGUAAUGUCUGGGAAACUGCCUGAUGGAGGGGGAUAACUACUGGAAACGGUAGCUAAUACCGCAUAACGUCGCAAGACCAAAGAGGGGGACCUUCGGGCCUCUUGCCAUCAGAUGUGCCCAGAUGGGAUUAGCUAGUAGGUGGGGUAACGGCUCACCUAGGCGACGAUCCCUAGCUGGUCUGAGAGGAUGACCAGCCACACUGGAACUGAGACACGGUCCAGACUCCUACGGGAGGCAGCAGUGGGGAAUAUUGCACAAUGGGCGCAAGCCUGAUGCAGCCAUGCCGCGUGUAUGAAGAAGGCCUUCGGGUUGUAAAGUACUUUCAGCGGGGAGGAAGGGAGUAAAGUUAAUACCUUUGCUCAUUGACGUUACCCGCAGAAGAAGCACCGGCUAACUCCGUGCCAGCAGCCGCGGUAAUACGGAGGGUGCAAGCGUUAAUCGGAAUUACUGGGCGUAAAGCGCACGCAGGCGGUUUGUUAAGUCAGAUGUGAAAUCCCCGGGCUCAACCUGGGAACUGCAUCUGAUACUGGCAAGCUUGAGUCUCGUAGAGGGGGGUAGAAUUCCAGGUGUAGCGGUGAAAUGCGUAGAGAUCUGGAGGAAUACCGGUGGCGAAGGCGGCCCCCUGGACGAAGACUGACGCUCAGGUGCGAAAGCGUGGGGAGCAAACAGGAUUAGAUACCCUGGUAGUCCACGCCGUAAACGAUGUCGACUUGGAGGUUGUGCCCUUGAGGCGUGGCUUCCGGAGCUAACGCGUUAAGUCGACCGCCUGGGGAGUACGGCCGCAAGGUUAAAACUCAAAUGAAUUGACGGGGGCCCGCACAAGCGGUGGAGCAUGUGGUUUAGUUCGAUGCAACGCGAAGAACCUUACCUGGUCUUGACAUCCACGGAAGUUUUCAGAGAUGAGAAUGUGCCUUCGGGAACCGUGAGACAGGUGCUGCAUGGCCGUCGUCAGCUCGUGUUGUGAAAUGUUGGGUUAAGUCCCGCAACGAGCGCAACCCUUAUCCUUUGUUGCCAGCGGUCCGGCCGGGAACUCAAAGGAGACUGCCAGUGAUAAACUGGAGGAAGGUGGGGAUGACGUCAAGUCAUCAUGGCCCUUACGACCAGGGCUACACACGUGCUACAAUGGCGCAUACAAAGAGAAGCGACCUCGCGAGAGCAAGCGGACCUCAUAAAGUGCGUCGUAGUCCGGAUUGGAGUCUGCAACUCGACUCCAUGAAGUCGGAAUCGCUAGUAAUCGUGGAUCAGAAUGCCACGGUGAAUACGUUCCCGGGCCUUGUACACACCGCCCGUCACACCAUGGGAGUGGGUUGCAAAAGAAGUAGGUAGCUUAACCUUCGGGAGGGCGCUUACCACUUUGUGAUUCAUGACUGGGGUGAAGUCGUAACAAGGUAACCGUAGGGGUACCUGCGGUUG